AUAUAAAGUGCUGCUCAGGGAGGUUAGUGGGAUCGUAGGGCUGAGAAAUGAAUGCCUUUACACUGCCAGUGGGUAGCAAGGGCAUACUUGAGUACUGCUGAUGAAUGACAAAGGGGAAGUGAAGUUUGGUACUUAAGGGAAUAGCUGAUGUUUUUACUAAUUUCUUUGGGUUAAAGAAACUUCGAUCUUUUAAAUGUUUAUUUCAUCUCCUAGAGUUGGGAAUCUGGGUUAAUGUCCGCACUUUGACACUAAUUACACACAGCACGUUGUGAAGAAUGCAUGAGAAAAAAAAAAAUAUAUAUAUAUAUAUAUCUAUCUGCAAUCUUCCAAGUCCAUGGGAUAUAAAGAGAAGGAAAGAAUACAUACUUAUACACACUGAUAACCUUUGCUGUGUCUCUUCCAGUGCAAAGCAGGUUGUUUCAACAGCUUAUUGGACUGACACAAAAGCCAUGGUCCAGUUAUACCAUUUUCCAGUGUACGUUUUCCCCUCUGAUGAUUCCCAUGUUACAGACAGACAGAGGAAGCUGCAGUCUCCUACAACCAACUGUAACAGCUUUUGUGACACUAAAACACUUUAUGUGUUCAAGUUUUCUUGCUUCCAGAGCCAUAUUCAGGAGAGCGGCCAAAGUAUUUUGUUGAAAUCAGCACUCAUACAGGUGGCAGUAAGCAGACAUUGAAAACAUAAAAACCGGCCAAAUUACCAAGAACAUAUGCUAUCAGUGGGCUUUGUAGGUAUCCACUGGCCCUCAUGCUAUUCAAGCCCUCCACAAUAACUUUAUUGCAAAAUUAAUUAUUUUCUUAUUACUCCUCCAUCCCCUUUCACAAUCAAUUUUUUAAGUGUAAGAAAUCUGCCUGAGAAAGCAGUCAACUUAAAUCCAUGCAGAGGCAUGAACAGUGAAUAGGGGUUGCCCAGCACAGUCCUGCUUGAUACCUGUCGUCCUGAUUAUU